CAGGUCACUCCUACGGGAGGCAGCAGUGGGGAAUAUUGGACAAUGGGCGCAAGCCUGAUCCAGCAAUGCCGCGUGUGUGAAGAAGGCCUUCGGGUUGUAAAGCACUUUUAUCAGGAGCGAAAUACUACUGGCUAAUAACCGGUGGGGCUGACGGUACCUGAGGAAUAAGCACCGGCUAACUUCGUGCCAGCAGCCGCGGUAAUACGAAGGGUGCAAGCGUUAAUCGGAAUUACUGGGCGUAAAGCGUGCGUAGGCGGUGAGUUAAGUCUGUUGUGAAAUCCCCGGGCUCAACCUGGGAAUGGCAAUGGAUACUGGCUCGCUAGAGUGUGAUAGAGGAUGGUGGAAUUCCCGGUGUAGCGGUGAAAUGCGUAGAGAUCGGGAGGAACAUCAGUGGCGAAGGCGGCCAUCUGGAUCAACACUGACGCUGAGGCACGAAAGCGUGGGGAGCAAACAGGAUUAGAUACCCUGGUAGUCCACGCCCUAAACGAUGCGAACUGGAUGUUGGUCUCAACUCGGAGAUCAGUGUCGAAGCUAACGCGUUAAGUUCGCCGCCUGGGGAGUACGGUCGCAAGACUGAAACUCAAAGGAAUUGACGGGACUCU
rnacentral:rRNA from 1 species